GCAGACACAUUCCAGCCAAUCAGCAGCAGACCCUCCCUCCCAGACCCUCCCACCUCCUGGACAGCCCACUAAGAAUGCAGCUUCACAAUGAAUGUAAAAUGGAUGCUGUCCAGGAGGUGGGAGGGUCUGGGAGGGAGGGUCUGCUGCUGAUUGGCUGGAAUGUGUCUG